UUUAGUGGCGGACGGGUGAGUAACGCGUGGGUAACCUGCCUUACACAGGGGGAUAACACUUAGAAAUAGGUGCUAAAACCGCAUAAGCGCACAGCUUCGCAUGAAGCGGUGUGAAAAACUCCGGUGGUGUAAGAUGGACCCGCGUCUGAUUAGCUUGUUGGCGGGGUAACGGCCCACCAAGGCGACGAUCAGUAGCCGGCCUGAGAGGGCGGACGGCCACAUUGGGACUGAGACACGGCCCAGACUCCUACGGGAGGCAGCAG
rnacentral:rRNA from 1 species